ACUGGGAUAACUUCGGGAAACCGGAGCUAAUACCGGAUAAUAUUUUGAACCGCAUGGUUCAAAAGUGAAAGACGGUCUUGCUGUCACUUAUAGAUGGAUCCGCGCUGCAUUAGCUAGUUGGUAAGGUAACGGCUUACCAAGGCAACGAUGCAUAGCCGACCUGAGAGGGUGAUCGGCCACACUGGAACUGAGACACGGUCCAGACUCCUACGGGAGGCAGCAGUAGGGAAUCUUCCGCAAUGGGCGAAAGCCUGACGGAGCAACGCCGCGUGAGUGAUGAAGGUCUUCGGAUCGUAAAACUCUGUUAUUAGGGAAGAACAUAUGUGUAAGUAACUGUGCACAUCUUGACGGUACCUAAUCAGAAAGCCACGGCUAACUACGUGCCAGCAGCCGCGGUAAUACGUAGGUGGCAAGCGUUAUCCGGAAUUAUUGGGCGUAAAGCGCGCGUAGGCGGUUUUUUAAGUCUGAUGUGAAAGCCCACGGCUCAACCGUGGAGGGUCAUUGGAAACUGGAAAACUUGAGUGCAGAAGAGG
rnacentral:rRNA from 2 species